AUUGAACGCUGGCGGCAGGCCUAACACAUGCAAGUCGAGCGAGCGGCGGACGGGUGAGUAAUGUCUGGGAAACUGCCUGAUGGAGGGGGAUAACUACUGGAAACGGUAGCUAAUACCGCAUACCAUCAGAUGUGCCCAGAUGGGAGUAGCUGGUAGGUGGGGUAACGGCUCACCUAGGCGCCGUUCCCUAGCUGGUCUGAGAGGAUGACCAGCCACACUGGAACUGAGACACGGUCCAGACUCCUACGGGAGGCAGCGGUGGGGAAUAUUGCACAACGGGCGCAAGCCUGAUGCAGCCAUGCCGCGUGUGUGAAGAAGGCCUUCGGGUUGUAACGCACUUUCAGCGGGGAGGCGUUACCCGCAGAAGAAGCACCGGCUGACUCCGUGCCAGCGGCCGCGGUAAUUC
rnacentral:rRNA from 1 species